rnacentral:rRNA from 1 species
GAUGAACGCUGGCGGCGUGCCUAAUACAUGCAAGUCGAGCGAACAGAUAAGGAGCUUGCUCCUUUGACGUUAGCGGCGGACGGGUGAGUAACACGUGGGUAACCUACCUAUAAGACUGGAAUAACUCCGGGAAACCGGGGCUAAUGCCGGAUAACAUUUAGAACCGCAUGGUUCUAAAGUGAAAGAUGGUUUUGCUAUCACUUAUAGAUGGACCCGCGCCGUAUUAGCUAGUUGGUAAGGUAACGGCUUACCAAGGCAACGAUACGUAGCCGACCUGAGAGGGUGAUUGGCCACACUGGAACUGAGACACGGUCCAGACUCCUACGGGAGGCAGCAGUAGGGAAUCUUCCGCAAUGGGCGAAAGCCUGACGGAGCAACGCCGCGUGAGUGAUGAAGGUCUUCGGAUCGUAAAACUCUGUUAUUAGGGAAGAACAAAUGUGUAAGUAACUGUGCACGUCUUGACGGUACCUAAUCAGAAAGCCACGGCUAACUACGUG